rnacentral:rRNA from 1 species
UACGGGGGGGGCAAGCGUUGUUCGGAAUUAUUGGGCGUAAAGAGCUCGUAGGCGGCCUGUCGCGUCGGAUGUGAAAGCCCGGGGCUUAACCCCGGGUCUGCAUUCGAUACGGGCAGGCUAGAGUGUGGUAGGGGAGACUGGAAUUCCUGGUGUAGCGGUGAAAUGCGCAGAUAUCAGGAGGAACACCGGUGGCGAAGGCGGGUCUCUGGGCCGAUACUGACGCUGAGGAGCGAAAGCGUGGGGAGCGAACAGG